GAGCGCCGCUUCUGCGUCGUGUGUAAACUGUUCUAAGGCUUCAUACACAGGCACUAUCUCUCAUGAUUAUGUUGCAGGUGGUGCAUGGCCGUUGUUAGUUCGUGGAGUAAUCUGUCUGCUUAAUUGCGUUUCGUACAAGUACUCACUCAAUCCUGGACGUAUCUCAAUUAUAUGUGGCGGUGUCUGUCAUGGAAAGCAGCCUACGUUGUUUCAUACGUGCAGCUGUGUCGCCUCUGAGUUAUUGUCAUUUGGAGAGUACGUGAAUGCAACGAACGUGACCGUAGUGUUUUAGUUUGCAUUUCAAACAAGUGACAUUCAUUUGACACGGUUUGUAUUCCGGCUACGUAUCAUCCCAGUGCAUAACCAUAACCAUUGCAACUAUACAUACCACUGCUUUCUUUUCUCUAACCAGGGGAAGGUUGCGGCAAUAACAGGUCUGUGAUGC
rnacentral:rRNA from 1 species